UCUACAAAGAGCACCUGAAGGCAUCACUCUUUCACCCUUUGGUCAACAGAACAAUCAAAGUUACAAAUCUUCAGAGUUUCCGCCUGAAAACUACGAAUUAAACUGCAGUCUGUGACCUCUGACCUCGACCAUGACGUCCACGUCCGUCACCACAGUGGGAGGAGUGGUGGUCGUCACUCAGGUCAUUCCUAAGGAUGAAUCCACCAGCGCGCUCCAGACUGCCGCCGCCGCCGCCAGACAGGCUCCGCCUCCAGCCGCACAGGCCCCGGCCUCCAAGGACGACAUGACGGCCACCUUCCUGCGGGGAGGGCCCCAUGGCCUCGGGCUCGUUCAGAUCUUCAUCGGCGUGCUGUGUGUUCUCUUCAGUGUGACCGCCGUCUUCUCACAGAUCCUGAUCCUCCACGCUCCGCUCUGCCUCGCCGUCACUUUUGUGAUGUCCGGCUCUGUGGCUGUGGCGGCGGCGAGGCGGACUUCAGUCGGUCUGGUGUGGGCGUCCCUGCUGUCCCACAUGAUCAGCGUGCUGCUCGGCCUGGUGGGCGUGACCUAUGUGUGCUUCCUGCUGGCCGACCGCCCCCCCUCUGAACGCUUCUGUGACAAAUACUCUGACGGGUUCGUGCCCACGGAUCAGCAGAAGCUUAAAUGCCACGAAAACAUGGACAAUAUGGAUAUCUGUGUGUACGGACUCCUCGGCCUCCUGCUGGUUCUGCUCGUCCUGCAGGUUUGUGUCACCGUCACCGUCUGUGUUUUCUCCGGCAGAGCCCUCCGACGCAGCGACUGCUACGUCCCCGUCAUGGUGGAGUACAAUGAUGAGAGCGUUCUGGUGUCCGGUGCAGCGUCGGGGCUCGACAGUGACGUCGCUCUGUUGGACGGCAAAGGAGAGGAAACCUCCACGCCGCCUCCAUACUCCCCUUGAGAGGGGAGGACCAAACCUCUGAAUACUACAGUUAUACCACGAGUAUUACUACAGUAUUACUACAGUAUUACUGUAGUAAUACUACAGUUAUACCAUGAGUAUUACUACAGUAAUACUGUAGUAAUACUGUAGUAAUACUGUAGUAUUACUACAGUAUUACUACAGUAUUACUACAGUAUUACUGUAGUAAUACUACAGUUAUACCAUGAGUAUUACUACAGUAAUACUGUAGUAAUACUGUAGUAUUACUGUAGUAUUACUGUAAUAAUACUGUAGUAUUACUACAGUAAUACUGUAGUAUUACUACAGUAUUACUGUAGUAUUACUACAGUAUUACUGUAGUAAUACUCAUGGUAUAACUGUAGUAUUACUACAGUAAUACUACAGUAUUACUGUAAUAAUACUGUAGUAUUACUACAGUAAUACUGUAGUAUUACUACAGUAUUACUGUAGUAUUACUACAGUAAUACUACAGUAAAUGACGUAUGCGUUGAUAUACUGUUUUCCUCUGAAAGGUACCAACUGUCUCAGAAUGGACACUUUAUAGAAACCUCACUAAACUUUUCUUGAAGACAAUCAAACAAACUGAAUUCAAUAAAUAAAUAAAAGGUGUCGGUGGUUUAAAGGAUGGAUUUUGAAUAUGAGCGAUAAAUGCUUCUGUGUUUUAUUAGUUUCCUGAAAGCGUUUCUGUUUGUUCUGACUCUGAAUGAAUAAAUGUUCUUUUCUCCACGUUGUUCUUAUUGAAGAAGGUUCAUUUGAUCCAUUCAUCUCAAAGUGAAACUAACUUUUAAACAUUUCAGUGUCUGAGCAGCUUUUGGCUUUAACUUCUCGUUAGGAAGUAAAUGUUGAAUACAAUAUGUAUCAAUUAAAGCUGUAUCAAACAAAAGUACAUUCUAAAUAUGGAAAAUACUAAAAAUGUACAAUAUAUUGGAAUUACAGUUCAAGAUGUUUAGAAUAAAAUACAAAUAUUUACUAUAAAAUCUGAAUUACAAUGAACGUUUUUAGAAGCGGUGUUACUUAUUUAGAACGUCACGUGAGAAAUAUUAAACUGACAUCUAAUUAUGAAACCACUGAUUGUUAUUACUGUUCACUGCCACUAUAGAAGUGUAGCCCGC
rnacentral:lncRNA from 1 species